GUGUCAUUUAUGUGGCAGAUACUGAUUGGAUGCUGUGGAGUGCGGGGCCCCGUUUACAGAACUCAAGGGGUACCUCCUCCCUACCAAGAGCCACAAUCAACAUGACUGAGGCUUCCAGAGCAGGAAUAAGUCGCAAGAUGAGCUUCGCAACAUCGGUCUUGUCUCUCCGAAGUCUGCCGAGACAUGCGGAAAACCUCAGGGCAAGCUCAGCAUGUUCAGCCCUAUUGCAGCGGAGCCCUCGCUCUAGGUUUUAUACAUUUAGGAUAUAAAACAAUGAAGAAAACCCCUGUCUUUAAAGAAGAUGCUGCCAGCCACCAGCCUUAGAUGAGGACUGAAAAAAUAAACCCUGACCAAAAGAAAAAAAAAAAAAAAAAAAAGGAAUGUUUUUACUGCAUAUAAAGGGACUGCGCCAUUUUGGAUUCCCAUUGGCAGUGCUUGAGAAUGUCCAAUUCUCCAGAGUCUCAUCAGUAUUGUAUGUUUUCAAUCUUUGGGAUUUUUCUAACUUGAUACACAAGAAAUGGUCUCUCAGUGUUGUUCAAAUAUGUAUUUCUUUUUCUGUGUUGAAGGUCUGUUUUCAUUUUUCCUACUAAAUUGCUUUGGCUAAUUUUUUCUCUCAGGGCCUUUUUUUUUUUUUUCAAUUUUUAAGAGCUCUCUAUAUAAUAGGCAUAUUAGUUGA